rnacentral:lncRNA from 1 species
UUAACAAUUUAACAUAAGGUAGUACAGUUGAUUAGGCGAUUGACGAUUUCCGAGCUUCGACUCCUCAAUCCUCACAAAUUUUGGGCAAACGAAAACACUGAUGUUAGAACUUCUGAUAGUUUCAAUUUUCAAAGGUAUGUUCCUAUUUUCUAGCGAUUUCUAGUUUCUAGCAAACUAGCGAUUUGGAGGUUUCUUAGAUACACUCAAUUCCUAUGGCUAAUUUUUGUUUACAAGUGAUGAUUAAGUGUCUGCAAGUGAUGAUUGAAAGUGGUGAUUAAGUGUCUGCCGAAUAAGUUUCUUCUUUUUCUAAUAUAUGCAUUUUUUGACUUAGCUAAAUCUUUUGUUGAGGAUGUAGUUGAAGCUUCUCUUAAACUUGAGAAUGUUUUUUACUUUCCAUUAUAAAACCUUGAGAUACCCUUUUUACAUAAAUCACACAUAUAUUAAUUGGAAAUCUAUAGAUAACAUACAGAAAAAUUAAUUUUGUAGGCAUAGAUUCCUACUAGAAAGGGUAAAUCAUGAGAAUCAUUUUGAUCAAGGCUUGAAAACAUGUUUUUAUUUUAUUUUAUUAAUUGAAAAAAUUUAUUCUUGAUUUCUCUCAAGUGUUGGAAGAUUCUAACUUUCUCAAGAAAAUGAAAAUUCAAAAGGACAAAAAAUAGGAGAUUAUAAUAUUGGUAAAUAUGCUAAAGAAUCUGGAUUUCCUAAAUAGUACAAUUAAAUUCCAGCUAAAUAGUAUGCUUAACAAUUGAAUAAAUGUAAAAAACAUGAGUAUGUAAGAACAAUACAUUUAUAUUAAAACAUCUUUUGAAAAUAGUGCUCAAAUGGUUACACUUUAACUUUUGGUUUUAGCUAGUGCAAGACCUAAAGCUUGUUGAUUGUUAAUUUGUGUUUAUAUUUAUUUAAUUUUGUAUAGAUGGUAGAUACAAGUAGAGUAAGUAAUGCUGGUUCAAUUGAAAAUUUACUUAUUACGGUAGAUAAUAACACUAACACCAUUGAUACUCAAGAUUCUAGGAAAAGGAAGCCAUCAAACUUAGGUCUGACGCUAGGAACCAUUUUGAUAAAUUUGAAAUUAAUGGGGUUGGGAAAGUAAGGUGUCGAUAUUUUAAACAAGUUUAUGAUGCUAAUUCAUCUAGGAAUGGAAUAGCAGGAUUGAAAAGUCAUUUGUUUAGAUGCAAAGAAUACCCACUUAACAUUGAUAAAGAUAAUAGUCAAACAAAGUUAAAUUUCAAUCUUACCAAAAUAAUGAAGGGUCACUUUGGAAAUUUGAUCGAGAAGUGGUUAGGAGGGCCUUAAUUGAGAGGAUAUUUAUUGAUAAACUACCAUUUAGCUUUGUAGAAAAUGAAGGCUUUAUGAAGUUUAUGAGAAAAACUCAACUACUAUUUCGUCUUCCUUCUCGUACAACAAUAACAAGGGAUUGUUAUGAAGUUUACAGUGAAUUGAAGCAAAAUCUAAGGUCUUUUAGAUAAGCACAACCAAAAAAUUUGCCUCACAACAGGCACAUGGACUUCAUUACAAAGAAUAAGUUAUAUGUGUUUGACAGCCCACUUUAUUUAUAGGUAUUGGAAGUUGCAUAAUAGAAUACUAAAAAUUUGCCCUAUCAUUAGUCAUAAGGGCAAAGAGAUAGAUAAAGCUAUUAGGGAUUAUUUGCUUGAAUGGAAAUUAGACAAAGUUUUCACUAUUAUCGUGGACAAUGCUUCUCCAAAUGAUGUCACAGUCAACGAAUUGCCUAAACAGUUAGAUAUGUGGAAAACUAAUAUGAUGAGUAGUAAACAUCUUUAUGUGAGAUGCAUGGCUCAUAUACUAAAUCUAAUCGUGCAAGAUGGUUUGAAAGAACUUGAUGCUUCUGUGACACAUGUUAGAAAUAUUGUGAGGUAUGUGAGAUCUUUUCCUGCAAGGAACUUAAAGUUUAAACUGUGCUGUGCACAUGUAAAGGUUGUAUGCACCAAAACGUUGUGUUUGGAUGUUCCUACUAGGUGGAAUUCCAUCUAUUUGAUGUUGGAUAUGACACAAAACUUUGAAAAGGUCUUUGACAAGUUUCAUCUUUUUGAUGAUGGAUUUUUUGCUUAUCAAUGUUCUCAUCUUUGUGAAGAUGGUCGUAGUGAAGGUUCUCUUGAAUUUGCGACUGGGUGAAUGUAAGGAAUAUGAUAGAGUUUUUUUGUAAUAUUUCACGAGCUAACUAAAAAGUUUUAGGUUCACAUUAUGUCACUUGUAAUUCCCAUUUUGAGGACAUAUCUGAACUUUAUUGUCAUUUGAAAAUGUGUUUAGCUAGUGAGGAUGAGCAUUUGAGAAAAAUGUCUAAGUGAAUGUAAGAAAAGUUCAAGAGUAUUGGGCUGAGACUAAAAAUAUGAAUAAAAUGAUUUAUUGCUUCCGUCUAGGAUCCACGUAACAUAUUUGAAUAUGUUGAGGGAGCACUUGAAGAACUUUUUGGGGAAGAAAAAGGGAAGAAAAUAAAUACUAAGGUGUAUGCUUAUAUGAAUUCUUUGUUUGGAGAGUAUCUAAAAAAGUAUUCAACUGAAUCUUGUCCUCGAUCUCCAUCAAGUUCUACUUCAUCUAACAACACAUCUAAUAUAUCUAGUGGGAGUGUUAACUGCAUCAAAAAUAAGGAAGAAGCUUAGCUUGAAGAAACAAAAGGAAGACAAUGGAAA